rnacentral:rRNA from 1 species
UACGUAGGGUGCGAGCGUUGUCCGGAAUUAUUGGGCGUAAAGAGCUCGUAGGCGGUUUGUUGCGUCGGCCGUGAAAACCUGCAGCUUAACUGUGGGCCUGCGGCCGAUACGGGCAGACUUGAGUUCGGUAGGGGAGACUGGAAUUCCUGGUGUAGCGGUGAAAUGCGCAGAUAUCAGGAAGAACACCGGUGGCGAAGGCGGGUCUCUGGGCCACUACUGACGCUGAGGAGCGAAAGCGUGGGGAGCGAACAGG